rnacentral:lncRNA from 1 species
CUUCUUGAGGAUGAGGACUGUGUUUUAUCCUUGAAUGGUCAGCUCUGAACAAUGCCCGACACAUCGCUGAUACUCAUGGUCUGUUGAGUAAAUGGAGGAUGAUUUGCAGUUGGUGCUGUGUUCUGUGUUCCUGGGGGAAUCUUGUCCUGAGGGAUGUGAGCGUGAAUGCACAGCUUCUCCAUCUGUGGCUUUGGGGAGUCUUCCUCCUCAUUUAUGGGCGUCGGCGCUAACCAGCUCUGGAAACGGCUCGGAGGAGCAGACCCAGCUGUGCAGCGAUGUCCGGCGUCGCCGCAUGUGCCCCGUGGGGUGCAGCAUGAGUCUUCCUUUGUGGCGUGCGGCUCCGUCGGAACGCGCGUUGUGACGACAAAUUCCAUCCCUCCCCACCCCCAAGCCGCAGUUAACAGUGCUGGGGCAGAGACUGGUGGAGGGGCCCAGAGCCCACGUAGACCGAGAUGAAGAUGAGGAAGAUCAUGAGCAGGAAGAGGCUGGCGGCCGCGGCGGCCACAGGGAAGAGCUCGGUGCGCGGCGCAGCCUCCCGCGACCGCUACUCCUGGGCUGCGUCGAGGAGCCGCGUUGCCAUAGGAACCGUGGCGGCGCCCCCAGCGAAACCCUGCGUUUGUGACAGGAGAAGCUAACUGCGGCCGCCCACUCCCACCCGCGCUUCCUCCCCGCCCCCACCCGCAGUGCGCGAAAAGCAGAGAUCCGAGAACCGCGUGCAGUACAAACGGCAAACGCUUCUCACAAAUUUCCCGGGGGCUGAGCGCGCGGCCGCAGGCCGGGAACCCACCGCUCUCAGGCUCCCAGCCCCGGCGCUACGACCCCGUGGGCGCCGCCUGCGCAGCCCCUCCUUCCAGCCCGCUCGGGCGCAUCCCUCAGGUCGGGGCAGCGAUGCGGACACCGGGAGCCCCUCCCGCCGAUCCCGGCUUUGGCCGACACCCAGGGACCAUGGAGUGGCAAAAGAACCGCAACGCGGCGCCUGGUCAACCGCGGACGAAGUUCGAGGCCGGAGGGCGUUUUAUUUUUGCAAAAUUGCCCCAAAGCCAGGGCCGCAUGUACUCACUGUCUCCUUUGCCCCACAUGCUCCAAGAAAAUAAGAGACCUUCUACCCCGAGUCCUAAUUAUUGGGUCAUUUCCUUAACGCGCCGUGUGUCUCCGUAGCCAGAAACACACUGCGAGAUGCAGUGUUUGGGUAAUUAGCAAAGAGACGAGACCUAACGGGGCUUCCGAAACGCUAGAUACUGCGGCCCGGUCGCCCUGCAUUCGGGCAUCGCGCGGUUCCCGGCCUUCGGGACGUUCCCGGCCCAGCCGGACUUUUACCGCUGGCGUGAUUAGGAGAAACGCAGAAGGCGGACGCUCCCCAAUUUCCCCAAUCGAGCCUUCUCCUCCCGAGUCAUUGCGAAGCCCCUGGCUCCGGAGACACCGACUCUGCGCCUGGGCCUGCAAAUCCGCCUCCAGCGAGCGCAGGCCCUGUCGCUCCGGGCUAUAAAUAUUAAUAAGCUGCGCGGCUACGGGCUUAAUUAUCUUCCUUUAAUUGCAACUCAACAAAAAAUCCAGUCUCCUGCCACUCAGCCCCCCUAGGUCAGGAUCGUUUGGUUUCGGUGUCAGGAGGCUACCCGGGCUCAGAGUCGUUCUUUGUAUUCCGCAGUCCAACCUGGAAACCAUAUGCUGCACCUCUGCGCCGGUUAAAAUCACCAGCAGACAGAUUCGAGCUGCCGCCUCUUCGCCUUUUAUUCUGUCGCCCGCGUCCCCAGCAGCCCCGGGUUCCCAGUUCCCUCCCCUCUGCCAGAGGAUCCUGCCUCUAUCCUUCCCCGCACAACUAAAGCAAUGGUCUGAGGGGUUUGGUAAACAGAAGCGCCCCGGGAGGGGGUGGGAUUCGCCCCGGGUGUGACCCAAAGGCACCUGCGGCGGCCCAGGCCGUGGGC